AAAUGAUGAUGAUUGAAGAAAAAAAAAUGAAAUGAAAUGAAAUGUAGUUGUUAUUUUUUCUUUUUUCCAGCUGUACCGUGAUGGUGCUUUACAACUGCUGCUGUGAUUAAGAAAAGAUAAAUAAUUGCAUUGAUGGGUUUCAUCAUCAAAAUGAUUCAAUGAUGGUGGAGAUGAUACUACAAUAAUAUGCCUCGGCCGGUGGUGUAAUG
rnacentral:ribozyme from 14 species